UGACGAGAAGACCCUAAUGAGCUUGUAAUUUUAUUAUUGUUAUUUAAAAUAUUUAGAUAGCAAUAUAUAAAUUUUAAUUGGGGUGAUUAAGGAAUAAGUUGAAUAUAGUAACUUCCUUAAAUUGAAUAUUUAUAGAUAAAGUAACCAAUAUAAUAUUGCUUAUAAUAUAGUUACCAUAGGGAUAACAGCGUAAUUCGUUUAGAGAGUUCUUAUUGAAAAACGAGAUUGCGACCUCA
rnacentral:rRNA from 1 species